GAAAUGCGAUAGGUAAUGUGAAUUGCAGAAUUCAGUGAAUCAUCGAAUCUUUGAACGCACAUUGCGCCCGCCAGUAUUCUGGCGGGCAUGCCUGUUCGAGCGUCAUUACAACCCUCAGGCCCCCGGGCCUGGCGUUGGGGAUCGGCGGAAGCCCCCUGCGGGCACAACGCCGUCCCCCAAAUACAGUGGCGGUCCCGCCGCAGCUUCCAUUGCGUAGUAGCUAACACCUCGCAACUGGAGAGCGGCGCGGCCACGCCGUAAAACACCCAACUUCUGAAUGUUGACCUCGAAUCAGGUAGGAAUACCCGCUGAACUUAAGC
rnacentral:misc_RNA from 1 species